rnacentral:snRNA from 1 species
AUACUCUGGUUUCUUUUCAAAUUGUAUAAAUCUUUCGCCUUUUACUAAAGAUUUUCUGUGGAGAAUGUACGACUGCCUUGGAGUUAUAAAUUUAAAAAUAAAAUAUGGGUCCACAAUCACUUAUUUGAAA